CCUUGCUUGCGUGGUGAACUGAUUCUGAUCGAUCGAUCCCAAAAAACCAAAUCGAGAAGACUUGCAACGCCAAACGAAACUAACGCUCCCGCGACUCACCCAUUGCCCUAGCUACUCCGGUCGACCUCGGGACUGGCCGCCGGCGAAGUGCAGAGUGACGGGGAGCGGCCUGCAAGAGAUAUGGCUCACGACAGGGCCUCGACUCCGGUGGUUGACGGUUGCAAUCGAAAGCUCAUGGUGGAGGGUCAAAGCGGCGACUCCUCCCAUGGAAAUUCCAUCCCGACGCCAACGAUGCACGACAACAAGGUUAGUUGUCUUCUGUAAUUAAUCAAUAAUUUUUGUAAUUCUGCGCUGAUUGUCCUCGAUUUCAAUUAUACUUGUUUAAUUUUUUUGUUUUCU
rnacentral:lncRNA from 1 species